UCGAACACCGAUACAUCGCUAGAUACGAAUGCACCGGACGUCUUAUCCUUUAGGCCACGACUACUUCAAGUUACGAAUUAUGAUGAUAAUUAAGAUUACCGUAUUUAUUAUAAUAAUUACAAUAAUAAAAAAAACGAUAACAAAUUAUACUAACAAUCAUUAUUUUAUUGUUUAUUAUUUAUUUUUGCGUUAAAGUAACAAAUGCAUUUUAAUAUUUUUAGAUUGUACUUGCAAUUGUACUUUUAAAAUUUUAUGAUUCUCGCCAACAUGCGACUAAAUUAUUUUUUCUAGUUACUUACGGUCAUUUCAUAAUAAAGCUAAAUCUACGAUUAGGCUGUAACGUAGAAAUAUUCAAAACAUUUAAAAUUCUCUAUUAAUGAUAAAGUAUAAAAUAGAAUUGUAAUGAAAUUUUACGAGGCAUUCUUUGGCGGUAUCGGUGUAGACUUGAUCUUCUUACAGAAUAUUUACAAAAAAAAACCAUGGAUUCAGUUGCGUUCCUAGUUUGUAUGUCCGCAUUUGUAGCGGCCAUGAUCCAGAUCGAGAUUUCCGGGUCAUUAGUUAAUAUUAUUAGCGAUCUGCUCGAGGGCGUAACUGAAGCGCUUUAAAAUAAAUAUAUCCUGAAUCAA